CAGCAGCCGCGGGAAUACGAAGGGUGCAAGCGUUACUCGGAAUUACUGGGCGUAAAGCGUGUGUAGGUGGUUGUUUAAGUCUGUCGUGAAAGCCCUGGGCUCAACCUGGGAAUUGCGAUGGAUACUGGGCGACUAGAGUGCGGUAGAGGAUAGUGGAAUUUCCGGUGUAGCAGUGAAAUGCGUAGAGAUCGGAAGGAACAUCUGUGGCGAAGGCGACUAUCUGGGCCAACACUGACACUGAGACACGAAAGCGUGGGGAGCAAACAGGAUUAGAUACCCCAGUAGUCCCUGUCUCUUAUAC
rnacentral:rRNA from 1 species